GAGGGUAUUGCUCAGUGGGAGUGCACACCUAGUGAGCAUGAGGUCCUGGGUUCAAUCCCCAGUGCCUCCC
rnacentral:tRNA from 1 species